AGAAUCAACGCUGGCGGCGUGCCUAACACAUGCAAGUCGAACGAGAAAGUGGAGCAAUCCAUGAGUAAAGUGGCGCACGGGUGAGUAACACGUGACUAACCUACCCUUGAGUGGGGGAUAACCUCGGGAAACCGGGGCUAAUACCGCAUAACAUCGAGAGAUCAAAGGAGCAAUUCGCUUAAGGAGGGGGUCGCGGCUGAUUAGCUAGUUGGUGAGGUAAUGGCUUACCAAGGCUAUGAUCAGUAUCCGGCCUGAGAGGGCGCACGGACACACUGGAACUGAAACACGGUCCAGACUCCUACGGGAGGCAGCAGUGGGGAAUUUUGCGCAAUGGGGGAAACCCUGACGCAGCAACGCCGCGUGGAGGAUGAAGUCCCUUGGGACGUAAACUCCUUUCGAUCGGGACGAUAAUGACGGUACCGGAAGAAGAAGCCCCGGCUAACUUCGUGCCAGCAGCCGC
rnacentral:rRNA from 1 species